GCGAUCGCAUGAUUGCUUGAGGAAAUGGUCCGCCGCUCCGGGAUGGUCUCGCGUCCUAUCAGCUAGUUGGUGAGGUAACGGCUCACCAAGGCAAUGACGGGUAGCUGGUCUGAGAGGACGAUCAGCCACACUGGGACUGAGACACGGCCCAGACUCCUACGGGAGGCAGCAGCAGGGAAUUUUGCACAAUGGGCGAAAGCCUGAUGCAGCGACGCCGCGUGGGGGAUGAAUGCCUUCGGGUUGUAAACCCCUUUCAGGAGGGACGAAGCGAAAGUGACGGUACCUCCAGAAGAAGCCCCGGCCAACUACGUGCCAGCAGCCGCGGUAAUACGUAGGGGGCGAGCGUUGUCCGGAUUUAUUGGGCGUAAAGAGCUCGUAGGCGGCUCAGCAAGUCGGCCGUGAAAACCUGAGGCUCAACCUCAGGACGCCGGUCGAAACUGCUGUGGCUAGGGUUCGGUAGAGGAGAGUGGAAUUCCCCGGUGUAGCGGUGAAAUGCGCAGAUAUCGGGAGGAACACCAGUAGCGAAGGCGGGCUCUCUGGGCCCGACACCGACCGCUGAGGAGCGAAAAGCUAGGGGAAGCAAACAGGGAUUAGAUACCCUGGUAGUCCUAGCCGUAAAACGUUGGGAAACUAGGUGUGGCGGAUUCAUUGACAUCUGCCGUGCCGAAGCUAACGCAUUAAGUUCCCCGCCUGGGGAGUACGGUCGCAAGGCUAAAACUCAAAGGAAUUGACGGGAGCCCGCACAAGCGGCGGAGCAUGCGGCUUAAUUCGAUGGUACCCGAAGAACCUUACCUGGACUUGACAUAAUGGGAAAAACUCUAGAGAUAGGGUGUGCGUAAGCGUCCAUUACAGGUGGCGCAUGGCUGUCGUCAGCUCGUGUCGUGAGAUGUUGGGUUAAGUCCCGCAACGAGCGCAACCCCUAUCCUAUGUUGCCAGCGGAUUAUGCCGGGGACUCAUGGGAGACUGCCGGGGACAACUCGGAGGAAGGCGGGGACGACGUCAAGUCAUCAUGCCCCUUAUGUCCAGGGCUGCACGCAUGCUACAAUGGCAGGUACAACGGGCAGCGAUCCCGCGAGGGUGAGCGAAUCCUUUAAAGCCUGUCUCAGUUCGGAUCGGAGUCUGCAACUCGACUCCGUGAAGUCGGAGUCGCUAGUAAUCGCGAAUCAGCUAAGUCGCGGUGAAUACGUUCUCGGGCUUUGU
rnacentral:rRNA from 1 species